GACGAACGCUGGCGGCGUGCCUAAUACAUGCAAGUCGAGCGGACGGAUGGGAGCUUGCUCCCAGACCGUCAGCGGCGGACGGGUGAGUAACACGUGGGCAACCUGCCUGUAAGACUGGGAUAACUCCGGGAAACCGGGGCUAAUACGGGAUAACUCUUUCCCUAACUUGCGGGAAAGCUGAAAGUUGCCAUCUCGUUAUAACUUACAGAUGGGCCCGCGGCGCAUUAGCUAGUUGGUGAGGUAACGGCUCACCAAGGCGACGAUGCGUAGCCGACCUGAGAGGGUGAUCGGCCACACUGUGACUGAGACACGGCCCAGACUCCUACGGGAGGCAGCAGUAGGGAAUCUUCCGCAAUGGACGAAAGUCUGACGGAGCAACGCCGCGUGAGUGAUGAAGGUUUUCGGAUCGUAAAACUCUGUUGUCAGGGAAGAACAAGUACCGGAGUAACUGCCGGUACCUUGACGGUACCUGACCAGAAAGCCACGGCUAACUACGUG
rnacentral:rRNA from 1 species